GGCUGCAACCCGCCUGCAUGAAGUCGGAAUUGCUAGUAAUCGCGGAUCAGCAUGCCGCGGUGAAUACGUCCCCGGGCCCUUGUACACACCGCCCGUCACACCAUGGGAGCCGGUAAUACCCGAAGUCAGUAGUCCAACCUCGUGAGGACGCUGCCGAAGGUAGGAUUGGCGACUGGGGUGAAGUCGUAACAAGGUAGC
rnacentral:rRNA from 1 species